rnacentral:rRNA from 1 species
UACGGAAGGUGCAAGCGUUGUUCGGAAUGACUGGGCGUAAAGCGCACGUAGGCGGGUCUGUAAGUCAGAUGUGAAAGCCCCAGGCUUAACCUGGGAACAGCACCUGAAACUAUAGAUCUUGAAUGCUUGAGAGGUUAGUGGAAUUCCUGGUGUAGGAGUGAAAUCCGUAGAUAUCAGGAGGAACAUCGGCGGCGAAGGCGGCUAACUGGUGAUGCAUUGACGCUAAGGUGCGAAAGCGUGGGGAGCAAACAGG